rnacentral:rRNA from 1 species
GAGUUUGAUCGUGGCUCAGAUUGAACGCUGGCGGCAUGCCUUACACAUGCAAGUCGAAUGGCAGCACGGGAGCUUGCUCCUGGUGGCGAGUGGCGAACGGGUGAGUAAUGCAUCGGAACGUAUCCUGGAGUGGGGGAUAACGUAGCGAAAGUUACGCUAAUACCGCAUAUUCUGUGGGCAGGAAAGCGGGGGACCUUCGGGCCUCGCGCUCUUGGAGCGGCCGAUGUCGGAUUAGCUAGUUGGUGAGGUAAAGGCUCACCAAGGCGACGAUCCGUAGCAGGUCUGAGAGGAUGAUCUGCCACACUGGAACUGAGACACGGUCCAGACUCCUACGGGAGGCAGCAGUGGGGAAUUUUGGACAAUGGGGGCAACCCUGAUCCAGCCAUGCCGCGUGAGUGAAGAAGGCCUCGG